UGUUGAGUAUUGUAAACGAUUAUCAGUGCAGGUUGAUUUAGCUUCCUCGAAGUCUUAGUUUGAACUAAAACGGAAGUCUCCUUCUGCAACAUAUUGGUCAUAUGGGUUUUAUAAGUGCGGAAUGACUAAAGAGGUCGCUUUAAGUGCUCUCUAAUAAAAAAGGGUCAUAAGCAAAGCCAAUCUUAGGACAUGUCGAAUGUUAAUUGCGAAUAAUUAAUGUUGACAAAUUGCGUAGUGAUAAACGCAAUAUUGAAAGUAGAGAACAACUUUAAACUAACCGAUUUUUCCAAAAGUUCUAAAUCUCAUGCAGUUUAAUGCAAUAUUUCGCAGUCCAGGACGCUAGAAUCAUAAAGGGAGUUCCUAUUACUUGAAAAGGGUUUUAUGCAUUAAAAUAAGCAUGAAAUGUCAAUUAUACUGAGCUGAAGCGGGUUGCAGUUUCUGUUAUUCAAAAUCUUUUUAACACUCAUUUCUGUUUUUUAGAACUUAGGGAAUCCCGAGGGCUAUAUAGUUUGAAGUUUAAAAAUAAAUAGAACAAGCUGCUUUUGACAAAAUAUCAAAAAGUAGCAAAAAACCUUUAGCUAUAAUUUUUAAACUAUUGUAUUUAGACCAUUUAAACAAAGGCAGCGUGAUUAGCAUAUUUAAUUAACUUUUCAACGAAAGCAGUGCCUUUCGAUGCUUAUUUUCGGUAUAUAUACGAAUAGGUUAAUAACCUGUGGCAUUUAUCCGCAUCGCCCUUAAUACCCGUUACUCGUAGAGUAACCUUAAAAAGGUAUACCGCAGUUCAGCGAACUUGGCAGCCAUAACAUUUGACCGAUAAUGAUUGACCUUAAUCUCGAAGCCAUGCAACUGCUUCUGCUUCUGGUGUACUUGGUGCCGGG